UACAGAGGUCUCAAGCGUUGUUCGGAUUCAUUGGGCGUAAAGGGUGCGCAGGCUGUGCGGUAAGUCAGGUGUGAAAUUUAGAGGCUCAACCUCUAAACUGCACUUGAUACUGCCACGCUAGAGGACUGUAGAGGAGAUUGGAAUUCACGGUGUAGCAGUGAAAUGCGUAGAUAUCGUGAGGAAGACCAGUGGCGAAGGCGGCCACCUGGACCAACAUUGACGCUGAGGCACGAAAGCGUGGGGAGCAAACAGG
rnacentral:rRNA from 1 species